GAUGAAGAACGCAGCAAAAUGCGAUACUUGGUGUGAAUUGCAGAAUCCCGUGAACCAUCGAGUUUUUGAACGCAAGUUGCGCCCGAAGCCUUUUGGCCGAGGGCACGUCUGCCUGGGCGUCACGCAUCGCGUCGCCCCCCCACAAUUCUCCGUAAAGGGAACUUGUGUUUUGGGGGCGGAUAUUGGUCUCCCGUGCUCAUGGCGUGGUUGGCCGAAAUAGGAGUCCUUUCGAUGGACGCACGAACUAGUGGUGGUCGUAAAAACCCUCGUCUUUUGUUUCGUGCUGUUGCUCGCAAGGUAAACUCUUUAAAAACCCCAAUGUGUCGUCUCUUGACGACGCUUCGACCGCGACCCCAGGUCAGGCGGGACUACCCGCUGAGUUUAAGCACAUCAAUAAGCGGAGGA
rnacentral:misc_RNA from 1 species